AUGGCUCAGGAUGAACGCUGGCGGCGUGCCUAAUACAUGCAAGUCGAACGAGGGUGCUUGCACCCUAGUGGCGAACGGGUGAGUAACACGUAGGUAACCUGCCCUUAAGCUUGGGAUACCCAGAGGAAACUUUGGCUAAUACCGGAUAACAACAGAAGAGGCAUCUCUUCAGUUUGAAAGGCCCUUUACGGGGUCACUUAAGGAUGGACCUGCGGCGCAUUAGCUAGUUGGUGAGAUAACAGCCCACCAAGGCGAGGAUGCGUAGCCGACCUGAGAGGGUGAUCGGCCACAUUGGAACUGAGACACGGUCCAAACUCCUACGGGAGGCAGCAGUAAGGAGUUUUCGGCAAUGGGGGAAACCCUGACCGAGCAACGCCGCGUGAGUGAUGACGGCCCUAUGGGUUGUAAAGCUCUGUUGUAAGGGACGAAUGAUUCGCUUAGGAAAUGAAGCGGAUUUGACGGUACCUUACCAGAAAGCCACGGCUAACUACGUGCCAGCCGCGGC
rnacentral:rRNA from 1 species